rnacentral:lncRNA from 1 species
AAGACUUCGGCCUAGACCCUGAGGAAUGUGGGAGCCAUGGAGGGCUGUGGGCAGAGGAGGGAUGGGUCCGGACCCAGGUGCUCACAGGUGCCCCCUGGUGGCUGCUUUGGGGAGAACGGACUAUGGGGGCCAGAGGAGGAGCCAGGAGGGGACUGAGCUGGUCCUAGUGGAAGGAAAGUAGGCAGAUUUGAGAUGGACAUUUUUUUUUUUUUUUUUUUUUUUUGAGACAGGGCCUUGCUCUGUCACCCAAGCUGGAGUGCAGUGGUGCAGUGGUGGGAUCUUGGCUCACUGCAGCCUUGACUGCCCAGGCUCAAGCGAUCCUCCUGCCUCAGCCUCCUGAGUAGCUGGGACUACAGAGACAGGAUUUCACCAUGUUGGACAGGCUGGUCUCCAACUCCUGACCUCAAGUGACCUACCUGCCUCAGCCUCACAAAAUGCCGGGAUUACAGGUGUGAGCCACUGUGCCCAGCUUUUUCUUGUUGUUUUAAAAACAUUGCAGCUGGUCUGUGUUGAUGGGUAAAGAGAGGAAACCAAGGAGGCAGGAGAGAAAAGGGGGAAGGGCUGAAGUAAUGGCUGUGAGUUGAUGAGAAGGACGAGGAGUUGGUGAGGAAAAGAGGUGGCUCAGGCAGCCAAUGUCACAUUGGAAGGUGCCACCUUGGAAGUGGCUCCUUCGGCCCCAGUUGAGCCUUCAGAUGAGGCAGCCCUGGCCGACAGCUUGAUUGCAACUUCAUGAAACACCCAAAGCCAGAAACAUCCAGAUACGCUUGCUGCUCCCAGACUCGUGACCCACAGGAAAGGUAUCUGUCUUCUUUCCUCUGUCUCUGGGGGUUUUCUUGUCUUCUUUAUUUAAGAUGGAGUCUUGCUCUUGUCACCCAGGCUGGAGCGCAAUGGCACACGAUUUCGGCUCACUGCAACCUCUGCCUCUUGGGUUCAAGUGAUUCUCCUGCCUCAGCCUCCUGAGUAGCUGGGAUUACAGGCAUGCACCACCACACCCAGCUAAUUUUUGUAUUUUCAGU